UCCUAAAGCACCAGGAGGAGUCAUGACGCAGGUAGAGUAAAACCGCGUCAAAAUCGCCAUUUGCACGGACUGUUUUUCUUCUGUCACCUGAGCCAUAAUUACGCGAUCUACCUGGGGAGUUGGGAUCAGACCAAGCAAGUCGAAGAAAAUGGUGACAAAGAAGAUUAGGACGGAAUAUAUGAAGAAAUUUAAAGACCCAAAAUGGGAAACGUACUCAAAAUGUUACGAAGACUCACUGAAAUACAGACUGACUCGAAGGCUCUUGGAACAGGCUCAUAAGCCGUGGUUCUGGGAAGGUUGGGACAGUGGAUCGGAAUCGAGCGGGAGAUCCACUCCCAGAAACAGGAAUAAGGUCGAACCUUUAAAUCUCCCUGUCCUUAAAUCUCCCACGCCGCAUGAAAACGAGACCUGUGAACCGCUGGAACAAAAAAGUGUACUUAAAGAUUCGUCGGAGCCGAACGGUACUUGUCUUGAAAUAGCAGAACCGCCGGCAGAAACUGACAUUUCACACCCUUUGCUUCACACAGAUGCUAUUGUGGAAGGGGAUUCAACUGAGGAGGACCAGAGACAUGGGGAGGAGAAAGAACACACAGGUAGACCCCGUGGCGCACGCUCAGAGCCAGAUUGCAGCGGUCACGCGCCCUCCAACUCCCACCUCCGGCGAAAGCCUGCCAGGGCCAAAAGCCAGCCUCCACGGGAGCCCGUGGAGAAACAGACCGAGAAGGAGAACAGACACCCCUUUGUCCUCUAUGGCUGGGCUGAGAAACAGGCAGAGACAGCAGUCAAGAAAACCCACAAUGUGUGCUCGUCUGCUUCAGCAAAGGAGAUUUACCCGUCAGCUUUGCGAGCCAAAACCAGACGGGAAGCUGAGAAACGGGGGAGAGCACUCGACCGCAGGCGUGCACGGUCGGCUGAUCUGGAGAAGAUGCAUAAGGCCAAACUAGAUCCUGUGGAUGACCCUUGGAUGACCGAGUACAUGCGCUGCUUUUCAGCUCGGUCACGGUAGGGCACGGAUGUAUAACCCACCCCAGGCCUAAUCUACAUCGCCUUUCCUUACAGGACACUGACUAGCAUCUGCUGUACACAUGGCUCAGCCGAUUCACACUUCCAAUGGUGUUGGAAGUAGAAUGUGUGGCUUUUGUUUUCUCACAAAAUGGUGCUGUAUAAAAUGGCAGAGGUUGAAAAUGGGCAGCAAUUGUCUAUGGGUCAAUGACGUGACCAAAUUAAUUAUUUUCCAUAUUGUAUUCUGUAUUUUCUAGUUAAUGCGUAAACAUAUUAUGUGACGGAAUUGUACUCCCUUAACUGAACCACAAAAUUGUUUAUGGCUAUAUAAAUUCAGGGAAUUUCAUAAUGUAUAAAAAUGUCAUGCAGUUUAACUGUAUGAAGGAAACUCCAAACAACACAACCGUUAUUAAAACGGUAAAUUGUUUUGUUGUAUAUACAAAUUGCCUGUCAGAUUUGUUUAUACAACAGAAGUGAGUCAGUGUAAGCACAGUUAUCAUUCCAUGUUAUCGUCAUUCCAGUAACAAGGCAAUUGAUGGUUACACAAACUAUUAAGUGUAUAUUAGUCUUUAUUUUAGGUUAUAUAUUUAAAAUAAAAUAAAUAUAUUAUGUGUAUGCUGAAUAUGGCUGUGGGCGAUGUAAUGACAAGGGUAUUAAAUAUAAUACUGUGCUGUGAAGAAGUAUUUGCCGUCUUCCUGAUUUUCUCUAUUAUUGCCUAUUUGUCACACUGAAUGGUUUCAGAUCCUUAACCAAAAUGAAAUAUUAGACAAAGGGAACCUGAGUAUCCACAAAACACACUUUAUGUAAAUACAUUUUAUGUAAAUAAAUUAUAUUUAUUUAAUGGAAAAAGUUAUUGCCCCAUUAAACUUAAUAACUAGUUGCACUACCUUUAGCAGCAUUAACAGCAGCCGAACACUUCCUGUUUUGAUAUUUGAUAUCAGUCUUUCAUAUUGCUGUGGAGGAAUUUUAGCCCUCUCUUUUUUGCAGAACUGCUUUAACUCAGACAAAUUGGUAGGUUUUUGAACAUGAACUGCUUGUUUCAGGUCCUGCCACGGUACCUCUAUUGGGUUAAAGUCAGGAUGUUGACUAGCCCCCUCCAAAACUUUUAACGGAUAGAUGACCUGACUAUCUCCUUUCUGGUACAGUUCAGAAUUUGUGGUUCCUUCAGUAACUGCAAAUUGUCCAGGUCCCGCAGCAGAAAAGCAUCCCCACCACCAUGUUUGGCUGUUAGUAUGAUGUUAUUACUGUCAAAUUCUGUAUUUAUUUUAUGCCAGACAAUGAGACCCGUGUCAUCCAAAAGUUCCACUUUUGACUUAUCUGUGUAGUCUGUCUCAAGGGGGCAGUUCAUUUUUUUACAUGAGUGAUAUGGGUGUUUAAUAACUUUUUUCAUGAGAUGUUAAAUAAUUAUUUUAAAAUGUGUUUUGGGUUUACACAGUUUCCAUUUUUCUAAUAUUACGUUUGUUUAAAGACAUGAAACCAUUCAUGCAAUAAUAGAGGAAAUUAUGAUAGAGGCAAAUACUUUUCAUGGCACUCUAUAUACAGUAUAUAUACAGUAUAUACACACACACACACACACACACACACACUACUCUUUUUGCAUCAGUAAGGCACAUGGUUUUCAUUGAAUGUUAUUUUGAAAUAUUGUAGGUGUAUGUUUUUAAUUUAAAAAAAUUGGUUUAUACUACUCAUGGUUAUAUGACUGUUUAGUUUCCAUAUAGGAGGUUGGUAUUUGGCGAAAGUAUUCUUCGUAUUUUAAUUUUACAGUUUUAUAGUGUUAUAUAUUUCAGCCAGACAUUUUUGGGCAGGAAACUUAAAUCAGUCUUGUAUGAAACACAGUAGUAUAUUUUCCACCGAACGAAUGUGAAUGCUUUGGUAAUAUCUGAGGGAACAUUAGAAUAAUUUAUUAAAUUCAAACGUUUUCCCCUUUGAAAACCUAUUUGUCAUUGACCCUAUAGUAAGUGAUGUGUUUCUGUAUCCAAAGUUUGCUCACAUUCAGUUGUUGUAUUCUCUCAUUUAAAUUUCUUUAAAGGAUCUUUUCUCCAAAUUUAGAAUGUUGUUAUUACCCAGUUUGUUUGUUUAUAGAUGUAAUGAGUGGAAUUUGUUUCCAGCAGUUGUUUAAUUCCCACAGUGCUUUGAUAUAGCCUACGGUGGAGUUGUUGCUGAGCAUAGGGGGAAAGGAAGAGCACUUAUGCAGAAGGUGAUGGUGCACCAUUGUGAGGAAAGCUUGACUGGUCAUCACAGACUUGCUGCUGUUUCACAAAGUAAGGUUUUCAUUUUUCUACUUAAUCCAAUAAUCACAUUGCAUGCAAUGAUGUUUCAUUGAUCUUUUGUUGGGUUUUCAUAUUUGAAAAUUGUGCUGUCCAGUAUUAGUUUUUUUUCUUUCUUUUUUUACAGCAGGUUUAAGUGGUGAACCAAUUUUACUUGCACUAGUAUUAUUCCUUAUUUGUUAUAUUUUAAUGAAAUUUGUGUGCAGUUUUCAAUCUUUUCCCCAAAUUAAAUAUUCUUUUAUAGUUGCCCAUUUGUUGGACUGAAUGUUGUUUGCACACUUGCAAUAUCCAUUGCUCUCCUCUGAAACCUACAGCCUUUCCCUAGAGAAUGUUUGAAUUUUAUUUCACAAGAAUGUCUCAGAAUGCACCAUUGACAAUCUGAUGCAUGCUUUAAUUUCUGUCAGUCAUAAAGGGAGGAGAGGUGCCUGGUUCACUGGCAAAUGUAUGUACAAUCUGAUGAAAUCCAUCAUUUUGGCUAGGGAACCAAACAUGUCGCCAUAUUGGACGGCCGAAUGAGAAGAGCUGAAACCGAACCCGUCACCGGCAGCCGGUGUGCACGGUCCUCACUUAACAGAGACUGCAAAACUGUUUGUAUCACAUUUCAGGACAUCGCUGUGUUGGAUGGCUUAGACUGUACUGUGUAAUGUACUUUAGCUUGUUUCCUUGCCACAGCUCUUACUGAGACAGCCCAGUUGUACACAUACAUAGACUAGUAUCUCAAAAACACAUCCUCUCAGGAAUUAAUGUAUUUUUUGUAUUUUCUAUUUUCAAAGAAGAAUGACCAAUGUAAUUUUUUAAUGGUAUUUAUAAAGAAAAGAGUAAUAAUUAUUUACUGGUAGCUUUGGCAUUAUAAACGGAUAACUUUUAGUUGGCUAAUAAUGACUUGCUGAAUUCUAUUCUGAAAGGACUGUUUAUAUAAUGUUUAAGAGCUUGGAGCAUGGCCUGUUUAUACUGGAACAGUCAACAGCACAUUGCAGGCUAGUAGAGAUGGUGCUGAGAGGAAGUCGUUUGUGUGGACACGGGUUGAGGACUCACUGUUAUGUAUGGCAAAUAUGUUUUUAAGAUAUAUAAUAUGAAUUGCCUUGUAUUGUUUGUUGAAACAAAAACAAUUUUACCUUUACAUUUAUUAGGUAAAAAUUCUUAGGUACUUCAUGUCUUGUUGGAAAUUUUAAACACUUUGGUUUCUUGUUUUCACACAUUCUUCCAUGAUGAGAAAAUAAAUCUAAAAAUUAAAUUUCA